rnacentral:rRNA from 1 species
AUGAAUUGUAUCACUUGGAACUGUCGCGAGCUUGGGAACCCGGAGACAGUUCGUGAACUUCACCACUUGGUGAGGGUGGAAGCACCCACCUUAGUCUUCUUGUCCGAAACAAAGAUUGAGGGGAAUAAAGUAGCGGAUAUGCGAGCAAGGCUAGGUUUCGAGGGGUGUAUACCUGUCAGCAGUAACGGGUUGAGCGGAGGACUUGCCCUUUUCUGGUCUUGA